ACGUAGGACGCAAGCGUUAUCCGGAGUUACUGGGCGUAAAGCGCGGGCAGGCGGCUCGAUGCGUCUGAUGUGAAAUCUCCUCGCUCAACGGGGAGAGGCCAUUGGAAACGGUCGAGCUGGAGGGCAGUAGAGGCAGGCGGAAUUCCGGGUGGAGUGGUGAAAUGCGUAGAGAUCCGGAGGAACACCAGAGGCGAAGGCGGCCUGCUGGGCUGCACCUGACGCUGAGCCGCGAAAGCCAGGGGAGCGAACGGGA
rnacentral:rRNA from 1 species